rnacentral:rRNA from 1 species
UUGACCUCAAAUCAGGUAGGACUACCCGCUGAACUUAAGCAUAUCAAUAAGCGGAGGAAAAGAAACUAACAAGGAUUCCCCUAGUAACUGCGAGUGAAGCGGGAAAAGCUCAAAUUUAAAAUCUGGCGGUCUUUGGCUGUCCGAGUUGUAAUCUAGAGAAGUGCUAUCCGCGCUGGACCGUGAAAAAUUUCUCUGGGA